rnacentral:rRNA from 1 species
AAGGUGAAGUCGUAACAAGGUUUCCGUAGGUGAACCUGCGGAAGGAUCAUUCACAAACGAGUGUUUUAUGGCACUCUUUAAAAAUCCAUAUCCACCUUGUGUGCAAUGUUUGUUGGGAAAGUCUUUUCUUUCCCUUCAUAAAUAUCAACCUAUAUCUUUAACAACAUUCGUCUGAUAACAUAUUAUGAAUAUACUUAAUUCAAAAUAUAACUUUCAACAACGGAUCUCUUGGCUCUCGCAUCGAUGAAGAACGCAGCGAAAUGCGAUACGUAAUGUGAAUUGCAGAAUUCAGUGAAUCAUCGAAUCUUUGAACGCAUAUUGCGCUCUUUGGUAUUCCGAAGAGCAUGCUUGUUUGAGUAUCAGUAAACACCUCAACCUCUCUUUUUGACAAAAAAAGAGAGGGUGGACUUGAGCUAUCCCAACGACCUUCACCGGUAGGCGGGCGGCUUGAAAUGCAGGUGCAGCUGGACUUUUAUCUGAGCUAAAAGCAUAUCUAUUUAGUCCUCGUCAAACAGGAUUAUUACUUUUGCUGCAGCUAACAUAAAGGAUAAUUGUCCUCUUUGCUGACUGAUGCAGGAUUUUACGACACUUUAUGUGUUGUUCAACUCGAUCUCAAAUCAAGUAAGACUACCCGCUGAACUUAAGCAUAUCAAUA